rnacentral:rRNA from 1 species
GACGAACGCUGGCGGCGUGCUUAACACAUGCAAGUCGAACGGAAAGGCCCUGCUUUUGUGGGGUGCUCGAGUGGCGAAAGGGUGAGUAACACGUGAGUAACCUGCCCUUGACUUUGGGAUAACUUCAGGAAACUGGGGCUAAUACCGGAUAGGAGCUCCUGCUGCAUGGUGGGGGUUGGAAAGUUUCGGCGGUUGGGGAUGGACUCGCGGCUUAUCAGCUUGUUGGUGGGGUAGUGGCUUACCAAGGCUUUGACGGGUAGCCGGCCUGGGAGGGUGACCGGCCACAUUGGGACUGAGAUACGGCCCAGACUCCUACGGGAGGCAGCAGUGGGGAAUAUUGCAGAAUGGGCGGAAGCCUGAUGCAGCAACGCCGCGUGCGGGAUGACGGCCUUCGGGUUGUAAACCGCUUUCGCCUGUGACGAAGCGUGAGUGACGGUAAUGGGUAAAGAAGCACCGGCUAACUACGUG